rnacentral:rRNA from 1 species
CGCCCCUUCGGGGGCGGGGAGACCGGCGGAUGGGUGAGUAACGCGUAGGCAACCUGCCCGAGAGGCGGGGAUAACCCCGAGAAAUCGGGGCUAAUACCCGAUAAUGCAGCGGCCCCGCAUGGGGACAGUUGUUAAAGGCCUUCGGGCCGCUUUCGGAGGGGCCUGCGUGCCACUAGCUUGUUGGUGCGGUAACGGCGCACCAAGGCGAUGAUGGCUAGGGGGUCUGAGAGGACGGCCCCCCACACUGGGACUGAGACACGGCCCAGACUCCUACGGGAGGCAGCAGUGAGGAAUCUUGCGCAAUGGGGGCAACCCUGACGCAGCCACGCCGCGUGCUGGAAGACGGCCCUAUGGGUUGUAAACAGCUUUUACCAGGGAAGAACCUGGGCCUUUCGAGGCCCACUGACGGUACCUGGUGAAUAAGCACCGGCUAACUCCGUGCCAGCAGCCGCGGUAAUACGGAGGGUGCAAGCGUUGUCCGGAAUUAUUGGGUGUAAAGGGUGCGCAGGCGGAAGCCUAAGUCGAGGGUGAAAGACGGCCGCUCAACGGUCGCAGUGCCUUCGAUACUGGGUUUCUUGAGUCCGGAAGAGGCUGGUGGAACUGGUGGUGUAGCGGUGAAAUGCAUAGAGAUCACCAGGAACACCGGUGGCGAAGGCGGCCAGCUGGUCCGG